UACAGAGGGUGCGAGCGUUAAUCGGAUUUACUGGGCGUAAAGCGUGCGUAGGCGGCCAAUUAAGUCAAAUGUGAGAUCCCCGAGCUUAACUUGGGAAUUGCAUUCGAUACUGGUUGGCUAGAGUAUGGGAGAGGAUGGUAGAAUUCCAGGUGUAGUGGUGAAAUGCGUAGAGAUCUGGAGGAAUACCGAUGGCGAAGGCAGCCAUCUGGCCUAAUACUGACGCUGAGGUACGAAAGCAUGGGGAGCAAACAGGAUUAGAAACCCGUGUAGUCC
rnacentral:rRNA from 1 species